GCCUGGGUGGCUCAGUCGGUUGAGCGUCCGACUUCAGCUCAGGUCAUGAUCUCACGGUCUGUGAGUUCGAGCCCCGCAUCGGGCU
rnacentral:tRNA from 1 species